ACUGUGGAGUAUACAAGAACUUGUGAGUAGUAUAUUUAAUUUAAAAUUAAAUUACAAAAGCAUAUACGUUGAAUCAGUAA
rnacentral:ncRNA from 1 species